GACGAACGCUGGCGGCGUGCCUAAUACAUGCAAGUAGAACGCUGAAGGAGGAGCUUGCUUCUCUGGAUGAGUUGCGAACGGGUGAGUAACGCGUAGGUAACCUGCCUGGUAGCGGGGGAUAACUAUUGGAAACGAUAGCUAAUACCGCAUAAUAUUGACUAUUGCAUGAUAGUCAGUUGAAAGGUGCAACUGCACCACUACCAGAUGGACCUGCGUUGUAUUAGCUAGUUGGUGGGGUAACGGCUCACCGAGGCGACGAUACAUAGCCGACCUGAGAGGGUGAUCGGCCACACUGGGACUGAGACACGGCCCAGACUCCUACGGGAGGCAGCAGUAGGGAAGCUUAGGCAAUGGACGGAAGUCUGACCGAGCAACGCCGCGUGAGUGAAGAAGGGUUUCGGAUCGUAAAGCUCUGUUGUAAGAGAAGAACGAGUGUGAGAGUGGAAAGCUCACACUGUGACGGUAUCUUACCAGAAAGGGACGGCUAACUACGUG
rnacentral:rRNA from 1 species